ACAAGCCCUGGAAACGGGGUCUAAUACCGGAUAACACUCUGUCCCGCAUGGGACGGGGUUAAAAGCUCCGGCGGUGAAGGAUGAGCCCGCGGCCUAUCAGCUUGUUGGUGGGGUAAUGGCCUACCAAGGCGACGACGGGUAGCCGGCCUGAGAGGGCGACCGGCCACACUGGGACUGAGACACGGCCCAGACUCCUACGGGAGGCAGCAGUGGGGAAUAUUGCACAAUGGGCGAAAGCCUGAUGCAGCGACGCCGCGUGAGGGAUGACGGCCUUCGGGUUGUAAACCUCUUUCAGCAGGGAAGAAGCGAAAGUGACGGUACCUGCAGAAGAAGCGCCGGCUAACUACGUGCCAGCAGCCGCGGUAAUACGUAGGGCGCAAGCGUUGUCCGGAAUUAUUGGGCGUAAAGAGCUCGUAGGCGGCUUGUCACGUCGGAUGUGAAAGCCCGGGGCUUAACCCCGGGUCUGCAUUCGAUACGGGCUAGCUAGAGUGUGGUAGGGGAGAUCGGAAUUCCUGGUG
rnacentral:rRNA from 1 species